rnacentral:rRNA from 1 species
AUGGCUGGAAUCAGGCUGACGCCCGAGGAGCCUGAGCUGCCGCAGGGCACUCCGCCCCGCCCCCAGCUGCCGCUCCCCGUCGCCGGCUCCGGCGUCACAGCGGGCGGCGGCGGCAGCGGUGGCCUGGAGAUGGCUUCGGACGACGAGCGGUCAGUGGCAGCGGACUCGUGGUCCGUGCGGAGCGAGUACGGGAGCACGCUAGACGAUGACCAGCGCUACGCCGACGCUGCCGAUGUGCUCGCCGCGGCGGCGGCCGCCGGGAACUUCCCCUCCGCUGCCUCUGAUUACUGUUCUGACAAAGAUGACCAAGAUCCUAAUGAGGAAGGCUCAAUGUUGGGGCUACAAAGUUAUUGGGAUGCUUCUUAUUCUGAAGAUCUCGCAAAUUUUCAGGAACACGGCCAUGCUGGAGAAAUAUGGUUUGGUGCAGAUGUAAUGGAUACUGUUGCCAUUUGGACAAAAAAAUUGUGUGUAAGCUUUUUCCAAGGUGGACUUUCAUCGGCUAAUGACAACAUCAAAUUUGAAGUUGAUGAUAAACACUUGUUUGACUACCCCGUGCUCGAUCUUGGAACUGGCAACGGCCUCCUUCUGCAAGCACUUGCCAAGCAGGGGUUUUCAGAUUUAACAGGAACUGAUUACAGUGAAGGAGCCAUUGAACUUGCAAGAAACCUUGCUGCUCGUGAUGGGUUCACUACUAUAAGUUUUUUGGUCGAUGAUGUACUUGAGACAAAGUUAGACAGGAAAUUCAAAAUUAUUACAGAUAAAGGGACAUUGGAUGCCAUUGGAUUGCAUCCAGAUGGCCGUGCAAAAAGAGUGAUGUAUUGGGAAUCUAUAUCAAACUUGGUUGAACCAGGUGGCCUUGUGGUCAUAACAUCAUGUAAUCACACAAAGGAUGAGCUUCUGCAAGAAGUAGAAGAGUUCGGUAUGCGGAAAUUUGGUAAGGAGGACACAGACAGAGGUGCAGGUGAUUCGCACCAGAUCUUCCGAUACUUGGAUCAUGUCCAAACGUAUCCUACCAUCAUGUUUGGCGGAGUUGAGGGGUCUCAAGUGUGCACCUUGGCUUUCCAACGGGCGUGA